CAAAUAACAUCGAGAUUAACAAAUUGUUCACGUAAUCGUCGCAGUUAUUAAGUUCGAGUUAACUUCAGUGUCUUCGGAUCUGAACCUUCCAUGGUGAUGAUAUUAGAUUGCAUCGGUUUGCAGGAUUUACAGAUGAGAUAUCUGUUUUUUUUUUGAAAACCAUUUAUAAAGUAUCAGUUACCUUUAAAAAUUUGAGUAUUUUUAGUUCAGUGUGUAAUUGGUUUCAAAUUGGAAGAAAUGACAUAUUUACAUAUUUGGUUUACGUCAUUUUCGAUUCUUUUCGUCGAUUGAAACGGCAACGAGGGCGAAACGUAAAAAUUAGAGAAACUCCAUCUUCCGACAAUUUCUCAAACUUUCCAUUUCUCUCAUCUAUCGGACAUCUUAUUCUCUUUCGUAAGAUAUUUCCUAUAGAAAUGAGAAUCUACAAUAUUUACGAGACGAUCUGGAAUCCGCGUGUGAGACGUGCUUUCUUUCGAAGCUGAAUUCAUUAAAUUUCGCGCUGUCGUCGACUGGUGCACAGCAGAUUAAAGAAGGAGAAACUUUCUGUAACACACGUGAAUUAAAUGCUAACAAUGUUAUCGGACGUAAUUCUUUCGAACGUGGAUAAUGUAUCGUAAAAAUUGUUGGCAGUUUUAAAUUUAGUAUUUCAACGGGCUUAUGUAAAUGUUAAGACAAUUCAACAAGCUGGUUCGUGAAAUCCAAGGAUGAUGAUUGUUCGUGAAACAAUGAACGAAAAGAGGAAGUUGGAAGAAUGCCAUUGACGAUAAUUACUUGUACAUUAACUAAUACACGACGAACAGCAAGAAAAAUAGCGCUUCAGACGAUGAUAUCCUGCGCAUGCGUGAAAACUUAUAGUCCCAUGAUGGUAAGAAAAGAAAGUGAAAAAUAGAAGGACGAGAAAGCGAAGAAAAUGGAAAAUGGAAAAAGGAAGAGGGAAGCAAGUGAAAGGAUUAGAAUUACUUAUUAGAUCACGUAUUAGAAAGGAGAAAAGCGUAAAAAAUAAGGAAAAGAAUGAAGAAAAAGGUAAAGAAAAUGAAAAAUAUAAAGGAUACCGGAAAAUUGAAAACAAUAGAAAAGGUAGAGAAAAAUGAAUAAAUUAAAAAGAAACGAUACAUAGAUACAAAUGAAAAAGUAAAGAAAGUCGAUAAAUGGAUCCACGUGAAUCAAACGGCAAACAAAGGCUUAAACGAGAGUCAUCAAAUAGAAGAUAAACGGAAGACAGUCAUCAGAGACAGAUUUUUAAGGCAGUUUUUUACUCGUGACAAAACUCGUGGUAUUAUACAAUAUUCGGAAACGUGUUUGAGAGAUAGCGAUGAAUAUGUAGUUGCUAAAGAGGCAAUGCUUGAUAAAGAUAAACGUGCAAAACACGUGCCAAAAGUACUGAUUCGUUUGAAGAAGAUAAUAAUCGUUUGGUGAUCGUCUGCAGAAUGGCAUUACCAUUUCUUACAGACAAGAAUUAUAAUUACCUCAUAAAAAGAACCAUAUUGUAAACUAGAUAAGAUGCAUAUGAAAUUGACAAAGCAACAAUUCACACCUAGUGACACAAUUGGAAAUUAAUUCUAUUGUUCAUAAAGUAACGUUUAAGAACAAUUACGUAAUCACGUGUAAAUAUUAAUAAUAUAUAACAGUAAUUAGAUCAAUAAUUAUAUCAACGAUAUUAUUCGAUGUAGUAAAUAUAGUAAACUAUACUAUUGUACUAGCUUACUAUAUUAAUAUAGCGAAUAAAAUUUAACUUUUAAAUUUAGCGAACGAUAAUAAAAUGUAAUGAAUUAUAAUGCUUAACUUAACUGCUUAAAUUAUAUGCUAAUGUAUAUAAGAUUGCUUAAUGGUAUUCAGCCACGAUUUGAAUAGAAAAUAUAAGAAUAUUUGUUCUGCUGGCACGAAGACAUCUUUAAUGCAUAAUUGACAAAAAAUAUUGAGAGAUAUUCACCGAGACACUGAACUUAGAAUGCCACAUGCUAACAGAUAACCUUAGGGUAGAUAUAAUACUGUAUAUGUUACUAUAAUCCCAUUGGUAUGAUAAAAAGUAAAUGUAUUAUUUAUCACUUAUUUUAAUAAGAUGCUGACGGCAGAAAGUUGACAGCGAUCGAAAGUAGCUUACGAGGCUCGCAAAGACUUUCUCAAUGUAAUCAUGGAAAUGAUUAAGUUAUGUAAGAAAGUGGCAACAUUCGAAGAUAUAAACUUUUAAUCGGACGAAGCUCGAACGAAUGAGGCAACAGGUCGAACGAUGACACUUCAUAGUAUAUUUCGUUCAACGUGUUUCUGCACUUCUGAUCUAAUAUUAUUAUUUAAUAUCGACGAGAUAUUACUUUGUAACGUUUAAUAUUAAUUAUUUGGUAUCUAACGUUACUUUAUAAUCUAUAUAUAAUUUAUAUUUAUCGUACCGGCGUACGAUAAAUUAUCAAAUCUGUUUUCCUCGCAAGCAAAGCGUCUUGUGAAAAAUUGCUAUUCUAUAUCUUUGGCUUAUUUUCGAUCGACAUAGCGUAAAAGAAGACCGACGAUAUAUCUGUUAAUUUUGUCUCCUAGUGUGUCUCAUUUUUACGGAUAUAGAAAUGAAACCGAUAAAAGGUUGAUUCUAUUAUGUAACGAAUUUUUUGCUCAUUUUUUCUCACUUCAGCGAGUGGCUUGUGCGACAGUAAAAUAUUCAACUAAGGCGAAUGCAUUAUUAAUUUUUUAUAUGAAUGUUCUCGACGAAUAAGAACUCAGUGGCGUGACAUGUAUCUGAUAAUCCGAGAGGCCGAAGAAUUGGCCCACCUCUGCUUAUUCAUGAUCGAGGUCAAUGCUCACUUACGACCAUUCUAUCAAACGAAUUUUCAUCUUUAACUUGAAUUUUAAAUUAUAAAUUAUUGAAUAUUAGCUUAAAAUGUAUAUAUUCGAUGAAAUUUAUAAAAUUAUAUUUUUUUUUAAUACCUUAUAACUGUUUCUUUUCAUAUAUUUCUUUUAACAAGUUUAAAUAAUGCUUAAACAAUACCUAAUAUAUCAUAACUUGUAAUAAAGAAUGUUUAAAAGAUUUCACAACGAAAUCAAUUUACGUGGAAAGACAAUAGGAGUGAUUAAAUAACACAGAGCGUAAUGGUUUAACUAUGAUACCUACGCAAGUAACUUUUCCAAGUAUUCUGUCAUUUAAUAUAAUCGAGUAUAAACGACUGUAAGGGAAAAUCGAAUACUAAAAUGGAAAACUGCCAGUAACUUUUCCAAGUACUCUGCCGUUUAAUAUAAUCGAGUAUAAACGACUGUAAGGGAAAAUCGAAUACUAAAAUGGAAAACUGCCAGUAACUUUUCCAAGUACUCUGCCAUUUAAUAUAAUCGAGUGUAAACGACUGUAAGGGAAAAUCGAAUACUAAAAUGGAAAACUGCCAGUAACUUUGCCAAGUACUCUGCCACUUAAUACAAUCGAGUGUAAACGACUGUAAGGGAAAAUAGAACACUA